GCAAGGGAAGAGAGACCCAGGAAGGUCAGAUGACCUUCACGACGAAGGGUGGAGUCCUGGAUCCGGCCGCAGGAACUGGAUGGUCCCAUUCUGCUGAGUAUUUGGAGGACUACUGGUCUCCUCUGAAGAG
rnacentral:lncRNA from 1 species